GUAUCUCAGUUAGAAAUAUUCAUAUAUUUCGGUUCGGUUUCAGUUUGACAUUUCUAAAAAUCAUUAAACUGUAAAAAUCAUUAAACUGAAACAACCCAGAGUCUGUGUGCAUUCAAUUUUGGAUUGUGUUAGUUUGAGUUAGCAACCUAAACCUGAUUUGGAUUGAUUCAGCAUAAAUGAACAUGGUUUCGUGAAAGGCUUGUCAAUACUUACCUUUUGAAAAUGGUUAUUAAUUGUUUCAGCUAAAAAAUAUCCGAAUCAAAUCAGACCAAAACUUAUCAAUAUGUUGGAUUCUGUUGGUUUGAAAAUUUUUAUUUUUUUCAAUUUUUUGUUUGGUUUUUAUCUUUCUGAAACCCAUACUUUUAGUGAUUAAAAUAUCACAAAAUCAAUAUAGAAUGUCACACAAUCUUGUUGAUUCUAUGUCUAUAACAAUAUUUUAAAAAAAAAAAACGUAAAAUAUUUGAAAUGCUUCCCAUAAAAUCUUAAAUAAUCCCAUGGAUCUUGACUUUAUAAGCAAAACUUUAAAGGUUGAAGCUUUAUUUUGGUGAAAAUACUUGAAGAAAAGUGAAACCUGGAGAAUGGUUGGAAGCUAAUAGCCAUAAUGGUCGGUAGGAUGUGAAUUUAAGAAUGUUGUUAUAUUAGCUUUCAACUGUAACUUGUCCUUAAAAUCCUAUUAAAAGUUGGAAAAUAUAAUGUGACGAUCAAUAUUAUACGAUGAUAGUCAAAUUUGGGGUUGGCUGAAGGCAGGGAUUCUGUUGGUCAACCAAGUUUGCAGUCAAUACUACUACCAAAGCAAAUAGUGUUUUGAUGUUUUCGUGGCUGCAUCAGUGUUCGUCGUCAUGAUUGUGGAUGUAGUGUUGCUGAGCAUCCCAGGUGUCAUGUAACAGUCGUGCCAAGCAUGAAUUGGUAUCAAAUCAGAAUUUUCUACAAUGUAGUGAAAUUAAAUGACAACACUAAUACUUUAUAUGAAUAAAUGAUUUGAUAUCGUUGAAAGAUGUUUUUACCUUUUUUCUUGUUCACAAAAGGUAUACCCAAGUUGGAGUUCCGGCAAACACCAAGAAGUCUCCAUUUUUAACACAAAGAAACUACCAAAGUUAGGGAUUGCUUGUAUGCAAUUUAGCUCAAUCCUUGUAUAAAUUAAGAGGUUAUAAUAUUUGUUGAUAGCAUUUGGAAACUUACUAGUGUACCAUCUUUAAUAAUGCUUGUUACUAUGUAAAUAUUUUUAUAUGUGAUACAAGCACGAUUCCCAUAUCAUAGCUCCGUAAAUCAAAUAUGAGCCAUCUAAUUGCAGUGUCAAAUAACAACUGCUCUUUAAUUCAUCAACCCACUGUAACCUAGAUUGGGUAGCACUAUUUCAACUUAAGAAAUAUGCUCAUUAGUAUCGAAUCCCAACUUGCCAAAAAAAUGUUGAACCCGUGGUGAAGUCGGCAACUAUUGGAUACCGAUGAUUUUGUCUUUUAUAGAAAAAUGGAAUUAACUAUAGAUUUGAAGGUAAUGAUGGUAGCAUUUUGCAUGAUUUGGUGCUUUAAGUUAGCAAUUCAGUUUGUUUGGUUUACUAUAUAUUUGUAAGGAUUGCAAUGAUCUGUAAGCAAUCAAUUCUUUUCAGUUCAAAUAAAACAGUACACAUCUAUUUGUUGUCUUCACUUAAAUACUUUCAGUAAGAUUUGGUAGUUCCUUCGCUGAGCACAACAAAAUGAAGAGAAAUGAUUAGUUUGGGAUUGGGAUUUGAGAAACAUGCUAAUAAUUCAUCCUUGCCCUGACUAGGCAAGGUUGGUUGGUUGUUACACGAUCAACUCCUCAAUAGGCGAUUUCACGGAGAUUCAUGUCUUUGAGCUGUGGUGCUGCAGAUAUGUUUUUGAUUGGUGGGAAGUAAUUCCUACUGUUCCAUUGGCAACGGGAUACAAAUUGGCUUCACAUUGUAACAGUCUUAUUUACCAUAGAAGAUUUCGACUUAUCUAUCAGUAUGUUUUCUGUGUGAAUAAGGGUAUCAGUAUGUUUUCUCUGUCAGUUUGAUGCUCUGUUUCUAUUGCAUAUGCUUAUGUGACUUGUUGUCGACAUACUUCAAGAUGACUGAGACUUGAUGCUCCACUAUUUGUUCAAAAGUUUGAUGCUGAUAUCAUGUUUUCCUA